ensembl:lncRNA
CAGGAUGUGCUCAUCCUGCAGACCAACAAUCCAGUGCUAGAAAGAGAGGUGUUCAUUAGGAGCCUUUCUCAGAGAGGCUAAAAUGAGAAUUUCAGUUGCUGGAGAGCAUCCCUCUCCAGGCUUGGCAAACAGUGAUCUUUCCAAUAGGGUUAUAGACCCAUCACCUGCAGGAGCCUCUGUUGUUUGUACAAUCAAUGUGUGGGGAAAGGCAUUUUCUUCCCUUGCUAUGUUUUUUGGAGAUGGCAAUGGUGCAAUUUUUGGGCAUAUCCCAGCUAGAGGAAGGUGCAUGAAAGUCUAAAUUGUCCUAUUUGAUUCCAUUUAAGAUCUUCAGACUUGAUAUCUAUUUGAGAGCAGGGCAUUACAUUACAUUAAUCUUCCCACCUCAGUGAUGGGAAAAGAGAGAGUUGAUAUUAGCUCAGAUUACCUCACUUAAUGGAAAAUACUCCUGAGAUAUUGUCAGAGGAUGGAAAAAAUAAGACAGCGUAUUUUCUUAAUUGAAUGAAAAUAAAUUGUUGCAAGGUACUGAAUUUCUCUUUCUGGGGAACUGUCUGUAAUUCAACUGAACCAAUGUAGUUCUCACUCAGGGAAGGAACUCCAUUUUAAAAGAUAUUAAAUAAAAUAUUUGUGACAGUUGCAACCAUUCCACAGCUUAAGUAUAAGGAAUUAGCAAUUAACAUUCAAUGAUAAGGCUGUAUUUGCAUUUGUAUCUAGAUGUUGAACUUUGCCUGAGCUCCAGUGCAAUCAAGAAACACUCAUUUUUCAAAUGUAUUAUGUACAAGUGGAUUCAUAGUUGUACCAGACUUUGAGGGGAUGGCAGGGGGAAAGAACAGAGAAGUAGAGAAGCAGCCACUAAUCUUUCUUCUGUUUAAAUUCUUGUUUAUGAUUUCAGUGUGCAGUGUAAGAAAUGAUGAGGAAUGAAAGAAUUUAUAUUUUCUCAUUUAACAAUAUGAAGCUUCAAAAAAAUAUUUUCAUUAAAAAUGGACUUCAAUAUCUUGCCAGAACAAUAAGCCCAUUCUCUUAAAGGUCAGCUGUUACACUUUCAGAGAAAAAAAAAAAAAAAGAAUAAUCUUCUUAAUCCUAAGUGACUACUUUAAAAGAAACAAUAAAUGACUAAUUUCUUUCCAUCCUUCUCCAUAUAUUAUCAGCAAAAAAAUUAAUGAAAAGCAACUCCAGUGAAGAACCCUCUGAGGGCUUUUUAAAUGUGGAUCUGUUCAGCACAGAAUAGCAAAUGUAUCUGUGUGGUCAAUAGAGCGAAUGAAUUUGCAGGACACAAAUCUGCAGAAAGAGUAACUGAUCAGUAAGAAGGAAAACCUUGCAUGUUGUGUAAUAUUUCUAUAUGAAAUACAUUUGAACAUGAGUCCUUCUCUAUGCAGGUAGACCCUUCGUUCAAUGAUGAAAAGCUGUUUCACAGUUCAUUUCAAUAAGAAAACUUCAUUUUAAGAACUGUGCAGUCAAUCUCUGAAUGAAAGUUCUUAAAGAACUAAUCCUUCAGAAAUUAAAUUUUCAUGAAAUCCGUUUAUCACUCUUAUUAAAUAACUCUUUCAGGUGUAAUUCUCAAACUGAAUCUAAGUCUAGUGUAAAGAGAAAACUGAGCAAACAGAAACAGCUGUGAAUAUCUACUGUAGAUAAUCAGUGUGUGUACAAAACAAAAUGAUAAAUUCUUUCAAGAAAAUCUAGAAAUCCCACCAAGUUUGCAAACUAGAGAUCACCUCAACUGUAUAAAAUUUUAUCAGUGCGGGAUCUCCAUUAAAUUAAAUGGUGUAAAUCCCUGAUGUAGAGGAAGUGAAGGUUUCUAACACUAAGAAAAUUAUAUACAAGCAGAUUAAAACAAAAUACCAACAGAAAGCCUUUGAGAAAAUUCAGAGCAAAAUCUUUACUCUAGAAACUAGGCUGAAGCCAAACCAACAUAGUUCCAGUUUUAACAUAGGAAUGCACACACUUCCAAAUGCCAGAGGAUUAAGUUGAGGGAUGGAAGAUGCACUUCAUUUACUUUACACGAUAGCAUUAAUAAGAUCAUUUACCUGAAACAACAUAAAUUUUAUAAGGACUACCCUACCUGGUGGUCAUCAGAGAAGAAAAUGUCAUUUGGUAUCUUCAUUAGUGACACUGACCAGACAUUUUCAAACAAGUUUCCAUAAUGACCAACUCCUUCCUAAAAUCCAAUAGCUCAUUUAGAGCCCAUCCCUGGGUUAGCAUGGCUGGAACUGUUUCCUACUGCGAUUGAACUUGAAAUCCAGUUUUUAUCAAUACAAACUCCUUGCCCUUUUAUUAUACAGCUGCUCAGAAUUGUAAGAAUCAUAGUCCUAGCACUCUGAAUCAUCCUGAGUGACAUCUGCUUGAACUGUCCCAAAUGACUUGACACCUUCAGUCCCUCACUGGUCACCUGUUUUCCCACACAGCUAUGAGUUCAUUAAACAGUGGGUUGCUCUGCAUUCUCAAUGGGGAUCAUAUUCCCAUGUGAACAUUGGUCAUUUGUUCCUCCCUUAUUUUAUUUGUGCUUAUAAAUACAUUUAAAAACCAGCCAAAUGAAAAAACAUAUCCCAAACAGAAUAAUCUUAUUCUACAAGAGCUUAUUAUCUAUUCAAACAUGUGUUGAAGUCCUUACAGUAAUUUUACACAUCCAAUGACACUAUAUGAAGUAGGUGGUCUUGUUCUUGACACCACCUUAAAAAAACUUAGGAAGUUUACCCUCUCAUGGUAUGAGCUGCCAUGCCUGUAUGAUUUCUCUCUGUUUAGUAGCACUCCACUUCUACCAAGCUUUUGAUGUAACUUUUAUUUCUAUAUUCUGACUUAAACUGGGUAUUUAUUUUCAUGCCCAUUUUUUGUUUUUUGAUAUGUGCAGUAUUUGUUUUUUGUCUGGUUUUAUGUGCUGUGAUUGACAGGGGCUAUUUACUUGCAAUAGAGUUUGCUAUUCCCUCACAAACUAAUUAUAUUCUAUCAUUUAAAAUCCUGGGAUUACAGAAUUUUCAUUAUUUCAACUGCUUUUGAUGUGUCACUCAUAUUUCUGAAGUCUUCCAUACACAAUGGCUUUUCCAUUUUGAAAAAAAAAUGCAUCUAAGCCUUGGAGAAGUAUAAUGUCACCAGAAUAACUACAGCCAACCAGGUGAAGCCCAUCUUUCUUGCAAACAAUUUCUUCAAAGGAUGUCCCAGUUCCUAGGAGACCUAAACUUUGCAUCCUUAAUGCUACCUUUCCAACUGUGUAUCCCCUUUACUGCCUGCCUUGGCUCUGCAGAUGGUCCCACCCUAGUGCCCCCAUGAGAGAUCUCAGCAUGACCGUCACCACCAGCCUUUCUCUCUCCCCUCCAUCUCAGCAGCACAACUGUCACAGACAGAAAUGGAAACACAAUCAAAUGCUUGGAUAUCUUCAUAGCAGGGCUAAAAAUUAAAAAAGAGAAGGUGAGGUCUCUCUGAUCUAGGAAGCUGCUAGCAUAGCAACAGCAGAGAAAAAUUGGUGUGGAAUGUUUUUCAGCAGCAAAUCAUUAUUUUUAAGGAGUCUAAGGGCGACCCUUCCCUGCUUAGUAGGCUCCUUGACAGAGCUGUCUGUAAGGGAGGAGAAAAACCAGUUCUUUGUCAAUUUGGAAUUAAAAUUUCCAAAGUCUCCCAUGAAAACUGGAUUUUCAACAGAUGAUGAGGCAAAUUUAGAUCUGAACAUGAAAUGCUAAUUGAAAACAAGGUCAAGGUGAAUCAUGUCUUUACAAUAAAACAACACAUGUUCAUUAAAUAUUAAAUGAAAAUAUUGGCAAACAAUCUUGAUUCUAUUUUUUAAGAAACUGGAAAAGUUACAGACUGAAGAAAUGAAUUGGAGAUAAUUUAAUGUUUAUGGAUUUCAGUAAGAAAGCUGAUACACUGCUGUCUGAGAUCCUGAGGGAAACCAUUAAUUAAGUUGGCUUGCUCUAAAAUGCAGUUAAAUUGAUACAAAGCAGACUACAGAGCUUCAGAAAAAAAAAAAAAAAA